GGGCUACACACGUGCUACAAUGGCGCGUACAGAGGGCUGCAAGCUAGCGAUAGUGAGCGAAUCCCAAAAAGCGCGUCGUAGUCCGGAUCGGAGUCUGCAACUCGACUCCGUGAAGUCGGAAUCGCUAGUAAUCGCGAAUCAGAAUGUCGCGGUGAAUACGUUCCCGGGCCUUGUACACACCGCCCGUCACACCAUGGGAGUGGGUUGCACCAGAAGUAGAUAGCUUAACCUUCGGGAGGGCGUUUACCACGGUGUGAUUCAUGACUGGGGUGAAGUCGUAACAAGGUAACCCUAGGGGAACCUGGGGUUGGAUCACCUCCUUACCUUAA
rnacentral:rRNA from 1 species